rnacentral:lncRNA from 1 species
AUAUGCAGUGGCAGCUGAGCACUGGAGCUUGGAGACCAGGGAUCUUUUGGAACCCAAUAAAGAAAUUGUGACUUGCAUGCAAAGUGCUAAAGAAUCACUUUUCUCUAGUUCUAAAUUAUGCUGAGACUUCAAGGGGAUAAAAAAGAACAAAGAAACAUAUUGCAUUUCCAACCUGAUGAUCUUUAACAGAGAGCUAAGCAAAUUAAGAUGAAAUUAAUUA